ensembl:lncRNA
CUACUGCUAAGUGGUAUCCAAGGUUCUUAAUAGAGAUUUCUUAAAUGUUUCUCAUUUUCAACACUUAAACUGUUUGGUAUACGAGGUUUAAUAGGACAUGGAAAUUUUGUCUUUAUAUAAUUAGAUUUUAUAUUUAAAGUCAUUGGGAAAGGGAUGUGAGGCUGUCUGGCUGGAACAUCUGUCACACCAUAGAUCGCCAGGUUGAUCUGGCUGAUCUGGCUGGCUGGGUAGGUAUCCCCUUGUUCCCUCGCUGCUCCAUGCUUGGUGGGAUAAGGGAAGACUGUUUCCCUGGUCAAGGGUGUUAUUUGAGUAGCUGCACUCCCCUGCUAGAACCUGCACAAGCUCUCAGAGUCUUUGGGAAGGGCUAGGGGUGUAGCUAAGUGGUAGUGUAUUUGCCUAGCAUGCCCAAGGGCCUGGGUGUGAUCUUCACCAUAGGAAAAGAAAUAAUGUAAUUGGGAAUAGCGAGGACAAGUUAAUGAUUAUUCUUAUAUUGUAAUAGAGUCAUUUAUUUCUGUGCAUGUUAUGAAAUUUACUUAUUAAUGAGAAAUAUUUUUAGAAUAUUUGCUAUUAGGCAACAAAGUAUCCCUUAGUACUAUAGCAUUCUGAUCACCAGAAUUUGUACUGUGAUCAUCACAGUUUCUUUGAAGAGUUUGUAACAAGUUUUUAUCUAACGCUUCAGGCCAGCCAAUACAGAGGGAAUUUUUGGUGGUUUAAUCACCCAGCUAUAAUGAAGCAAGAUUGAAGGGUUUUGAGAGCAUUCCUGUUCACACAAAUAAAGAAAUCUGUCAGAUGGGAAUCUAAAUAUUUAUACUGAUAAUUGUAAGAGAAGCCUUACAAUUUUGAAGACUUCUGAGACUAGGUGUUUUGCUGCCUUUCAUUAGAUAUCUUCCUGUAGCAUUUGAGAACAGAAACCAAGAAACAUGGUAAUUACUAAAUUACAAGGCUUUGAUUUUUUAUUUGCUUUUAAAUAGAAAAACAUGUUGGCAGUAUUGAACUUUGGAGUUGAUUGAGAUACAUCUGAUUUCAUUGGUUUGGUCAUUCCAUUUGUUAAAAAUAACAGUCACUAAGAAGUUUUUGAGUUUCUUUAAAGACCCUAAUUUGAGUCCUGGUGUAUUUUUUGAGUUAACAUUUCCAUUCAGUGAUGUUGAAUGUAUAUGAAUUAUGUAGCAAAAUAAUUCCAAUAAAUUUUCUGCUGUGGCC